CGACGCUCGCACACCACAUGAAGAACAAGCAACCAACCACGGUGUUUGCCUCACUUUUUGCCUACCACCACUUUCUCAUUCCCAUGCGUAGCCGCCAGCCGCCAUCUGGCGGCGUCGAAGAUCAUGCCGACGUCGCCGCUUCUACAGUUCUCGGCUCUUCGGCGUCAUCUUCGCCAGCAGCGGCGGCGGCGUCGUUGCUGCAGGACGAGGUAUUACCCCGUUUGCGAAAGGAGUCUGGCCCAAGCAAUGCAGCGAUAUGCGAUGCUUACGCGACGAGGCUUCGACAGGAAGCGACAGAAGAGGAGCGGCGCCGCGGGCCGCACUGGCGUGCGCGCUGCUCCCCCAGCAUCCUCGUUGCCCUGCUCAUCUGGGCAACGAUCGCCCUUGUUGUGUACAUGAAGGUGGACAACUCUCGUUUGCGUCCCGGUGCCGCGCCCGACACCACUUCUGUUGAGACGCCGCUUUCGCAACUCCCUGAAAGCUGUCGCGGUCAUUACUGUCUGCGGGAGGGCGGAAAGGAGCCCUUUGGAGCGGUCCUCGGAGCCCACGAUGGCGUCUUCGCCUACAGUAACUGCAACAGCGACACCUGCACCUCUUUACUAAAGUACCAGAUGGCGAUUCCGCUCCCACCAGGAGCUCGGACGGCUCUGGACGCCCCACACGCGACGACUCGCCUCAUGACAACAGGGAUGAAGUGGCAGUGCGUGGAAUUCGCUCGUCGGUACUGGAUGCUGCGCGGCAAGCCGACCCCCGCGUUCUUCGGCCCUGUGGUAGGCGCCGCAGAUAUUUGGGACACUCUCACCCACGUUACCUUCCUCGACAACGCGACUACGGCUCCGCUGCUGAAGUUUAAGAAUGGCGCGAGGCUCGGCUACGGCGGCAGCGCACCCCGCGUCGGAGACCUGCUCAUCUACCCUCGCGAUGCCGAGGGUUUUUUCUCCUACGGCCAUGUCGCCGUGGUGGUGAGGGUGGAGAUGACCACGAAGGCCGAGACAGACGACUCCCACAUGGACGCUGCAGUCACAUCGUCAAAGCCGCGUCAGCGGCACGGCCUCGUGUAUCUAGCGGAGCAAAACUGGGACAGCGCGACUUGGCCGAAUCCAUACCACAACUACUCACGUUCACUGCCUCUGGUGGUGCUUGAAUCAGCGGAGGGGCUGCCUCUGCAGUACACGAUCCAGGAUUCACUCCAUGGCAUCCAGGGCUGGGUACGCUACGAUGACGAGCCAUAGGGUUGACUGUGCUUGUGUGUGUGUGUGCGUAUAUAUAUUUAGGUGUGUGUUUGAGUCUCUGUUGAUGGGUGAUAUGCUAAAUCUUGUCUUUUCUCGCUGUGGGCAAGAUGGAAGCUGGCAGGCGCUAGGGCGAUUUGUGCGUUUGCACCCGCCUCCCCUCUCCCCCUAUCCCUCCCCUUUUCCCUUCUUGCAAUCUUCGGGCUCCUUACCCGUCUCCUCGUCGUUUUCGAGCCCAUCGCUGCGGGCAUUGAGGCCCGAGAACGGAUGCCCUCCACCCUUUCUCCUCCUAGCGAAAAAAAAAAUAAAAGGCACGACUGGCAGAACGUACCAACAUCAAAACUGCCAUGGCAUCCAUGGGUGCGGCUGCCUUGGCAAGACGUGCUACACGCGCCUCUCUACGCAGCUGAAGCAGCGUGAAGGCAUCCAAGCAACCUCCCCGAUUUCGGCUCCUUUCUGUGUGCGCCUGAUGAGAGGGGACACCUUAACGCAACAUCAGAGUUCAGUGCGCCCCCCACUCUCUUAAGGAAAGCCAGGCAGCCCCCCCCCCCCACACAAUCUUUCUCUAUCCCUGUGCCACAAUACGGAACCGCCUUUGGUGGUGCCAG
rnacentral:misc_RNA from 1 species